GGGGAUUUAGCUCAGCGGUAGAGCGCUUGCCUAGCAGGCACAAGGCCCUGGGUUCAGUCCCCAGCUCCG
rnacentral:tRNA from 1 species